GUUUAUAGGUUUUAUUUAUUUAUUUUUUAAAAUUAUUUUUAAAGAAGGCCUUUACAAAGAAGAACUCCGCAAACUUCAUUUUCUUGAGGUAGUGUUUGGAAAUAUUUGGUUUAGAGUUUCUUGCUAUAAAGCCAGAAACCUGUCAGAGCAGACCAAGUUGAAAUGUCGGACAUAAACAGGGAAAUUUUUCUGGACACAUUCAGUAAUCCAACAUAGCUUUACUAUUCCCAGUUUGCCAAACACAGCAUCUGGCAACAUUAGGUAGCCCUAUGUACUUUUUUCUUUGUGGAAAAUGGGGAAAAAUGUGCUGUUAAGGCAAAGAAAAGGAUAGGAACAAAUCGAGUUCAAUGAGUUAAAACUUGGGUUAGCAGAAUGGCUUGGUGCCAGCAGUGAGAAGAACAGUCCACUUGCAUGCACUUCCAAGAUGUUCAGUGGAAUCUCAGUUUCUGGUAUUGAUUUAUUUAACUCUUAUUCUAUUAAAUCCCAACAAUUGUCGUGGGAGGCACUUCCCAGUCUCUCUUCCAGAGGGAUGAGUGACAAUCAUCUAAAUCACUCUAAAGAGCUGAAUGUAAUGCUUUCUCAAAGAAGGUGAGAGUUUUGCUGUGGUCACUGGUGAUCUCCAGGUUAAUGCAGUAGCAGUCUGCUCCGCUGGGAGAACUCUGCUCCCUCCUCCAGUACUUCUGACCUUUUCUGACAAACUCCCUUAAAACUGAGCCAAACCCCAGUCUCUCACCGCAUACUGAGAACAAAUCAAAUUUGAUUGCUGUCUGAAGAAGGUAUACAAAGCCCACUGGAUGGGAAUAGAAUUCACUUUGCCAGUAUUUUCUUUAAAAUAUUUGGAAGAACUUGUUGCAGUUCACGUAGCCCUUGGAUUAUGAGAAAGGACAUUUUCCAGCCUAGUAGAGCCAUCCAGUUUGGCAAGACUAUUCUCUUUCCCCACCCCAAAGUGCUGGAACUUCAUUAUGAGUUUUCAUUUUCUUCACCCUGCACAAACUUCAUGGUUCCCCGGGGUCAGCUCCCUGUCUAGCCUUGUUGCCUCAUAAAUGUCAUCUUCUACCUCAGCUCUUCUGUAAAACCCAGGGUUAACUCUUCUAAAGGUCACAGUUCCACAGUGUGCACCUCUUCAGCUUCUCUACAUUACUGAGUUUGUUCCCACAUUAUUUUUAAAUUUAGAAUGUUUAAUAUUGUUCUGUGCACCUCCAGAAAACUUACAUCCCUCUUCAUUCUGUUUUAAAACUUUUUUCUCUUAUUUCCCAAGAGAAGAAAACAUUUUCAGGAUUUUUGAAAUACUGAUUUAGGUUCAGAUAUUAAAUGGACAAAUGUUUAGGUAACUUACUCAGGGUGUGAUUUCACCAGUUACUUCAUACUAUGAAAUUAGGCAGGAAUUUGAAGCCACUGGCUUGGAUAGCUACUAGGUUGUGUUUUUUAGGUAUCCAACUCCUGGUUUGUACUACCUUGAUUUUUCAGAAAGUUUUGAGCAAUUCAGUUCUUAAUGUUGCACUCGUGGGCAGCACAAUAAUUGCUCCUCCUCUAGUGUUGUAAUAAUUUUUUUUAGAAGUUGUGAUCACGUGAGGCACAGUACUGCUACUGUGUGUACUUCCAUGUAAUGGGGUUUUUAGUGUGGGGUUUCUUUUUUAAGUGCCUGUUUAAAGAUAGAUGUCAGUACUCUGAAUUUGAAUGUGGAAGUAAUCAGCUUGUAGAAGUGUUUUCUUUUGUGGCUGUGUUGUAUCUUUUGGACAUAUACUGAAGGAUGAGUUUUACAGGAAUCUAAAAUGAAUGAGGGAAUGAACAAUAGAUCAAUUUUUUGUAGAAGCAGAAAUAAUCACGGGUGCCAAUUUGAAGCUUAGAUGCUGCUUAACUGAAAUUGAUUUUGAACACUGUGAGGAUUAAAUCAUGAGAUGGAGACUUGGAUCUGGGUUCAGUUCUCAGAUCUGCUGCUUCAUUGAGUAACUUGUUCGAGUCACUGAAUCUUCUGGUGUCCCACUUCCCCUUCAUAAAAAGGGGCAACAAUACUGCUUUUAUCUUGGGUUAUGAGGCCUCUGGGACAAGAAGAGCCUGUUAGUUUGAGCAUGUGUAGUACUUAGCACAAUGGGGUCCUCCUCUUAGAGAUAAUAACAACAACAUGUUUGACAUUCACAGAACAUGAUUUAUCUUUAAUCUUCUAAUGCACUGGAGUUCCCAGAUUGCCAUAGUGUUUUCUUUUUUAGAUGUGAGAGAUCUCUUUUUAUCUUGUGAGAAUGCAGACUGCUUUUUGUCUUUCUGUCCUCUUGCCAUCUGGGAGGAGGGAGGUGUGUGGGAUAAAUAUGGUGAUACAGUGCUCAAUUUUCUGAAAGGUCUCCUUGCUUAGGUUGUCAAGAUGACUUCCAGUUUCAAAAAAAUGCACCCCAGCAAAGGAAAGUACUUGUGACAUCCAGGGAGAAUUGCUUCUAUAUUCAUGGCUUAUGGUGCACCACAUGCUAAAGACCAAGUCAGACCAUCUUGAGCAUUGCUGUGCUCCAAGUUGCAGAGUGAUGUUUUCCUCUGAGUGAUAAACAACCAGAAAGCUGAAUCAGCACUUUGCAGCAGCAUGAACCUGGCUCAGCUUUGCUCUGGAGAAGGUUCUUUACCAGGUUUCAUAAUGACUGUGGAGUGGUGCAAAUAAAGGGAACACCAUUUAUCAACCACGUUGGCCAUGGAAAGUGAUCUGUUUAGAUGAGCAGUUUAUGUAAGUGAAGGACUUGUUAGGACAUGAGGCCGUGCUGCCCAUCACAGCAGGCAGCAGCUCUGGAUUUGGGAGAUGCAGUCCUGGAAGUUAUUUCUGGUGUUAUUUCUAUCUACUGAGCACUGAGGCUACUGAUAAAAACGAAGAAUUAAUUGUGAUAAUUUUCUAACAGUUCAUGAGGUUCAGCCUGUAACUUAUGCUAUUAUUUGAAGUGUCCCAUUGAAAUUCUGUUGAUUUGGUUAAGCUUGAUGAAUUUUACUGCUGGACUUGAUUGCUGAGGGGAGAGUGCUCUCCAUCAGCCCCGCUGGUGUGAGCUGAAGUCACAAGCAUUUGGGUGUGAAACAAAAGCAAGGGACUGGAGAGACAUUGCAAGGGACAUGAUGGAAGGCCUAGUGUAGACACACAAAGCUAACAAGCAUUUCUGCUUUUAAAAUGCUUUCAGAAAGACUGGCUGUCUUCUCAGCAUUCCUCCAGAGAGCUGAGAAGUAGUGCAGUCACGAUUUUGGAGGCUGAAACAUCAGUGAAAAAGGUUUCAUUCCCAACAGGAAAGUUUGAUAUAGAGCUCAAAGCCCCUGAUGACCAGUCCUCUGCUUCAACAGUGACACCUCCAUCCUCUUCUCUUGGAACUUCUGCUGAAUUCUAAGCAGGAAUAAAGCUUGUGCAGCACAUGGAAAUGCACUUUCCUCAUGGGCACAGCUGUGCAGAGCAGUUUGAUCAGAACUCUACAGAUGUGACAGGGCUGAGGAGGUGGAGGAGAAGACGGGGUAAAUGCCUGUACAGUCUGUGGGACAUGGCUGCCACACUUGUGUGGGGAAAGAGUGACACUUCUGCUGUCCUUUGCAGGUGUCAGUUCUCAAGGCACCAGCACCACAGAGGAGGAUGAUGCUGAUUGACACAGCCCUGACAGAAGCUGCCAGCAGAACUGGCUGGCCAAAGUAAAACAUGGCCAUCUGAAAAUCUGCAUCUGAUCCACUAAGCUGAAUCUGUGAAACAGGAUGGCCAGAAAGUGAUUCUCACUCAUUGCUAAUGUGGGUUUGCCUGGUGGUGUAGCCUGGAGCAAGAGCAGCUCUGGGGAGAGUUUGGGCAGGUGUGCUGCUCCGGAGCACAGCAAGGAGCAUCCCGGUAAUAUUUCCAUAUUUCCUGAGGAGCUGGGGGAGCAAUCACUGCUGAGGAAUGCUGGGAAUCACUCAUGGCAGGUCAGUGUCUGAAUCCUCCUUGACUUAGGGUCUGCCUUUGUUACGUUUCUAUUGUUUCCCCAGAUGAGCUACGAGGAAGGCAGAGAUUCCCAAGAGAGGUGCUGUCCAUCCUGAAUAUCUUCUAAACCUUGUAAAAGACAGGAGUCUGGUCCUUCAGAAGUGAUGUGUUAACAUGGUGAUCAUGCUCUGUACUUGAAUGGAGUUGGAUUCCUGAAGAAUCUCUACGUGGCAGACAACUCUGGAGAACUCUUCCUCAUGCAGUCAGGUUCAACAGCAGUGUUAAAGUAUCACAGAGUCAGACACUGUCCAUUCUGAAGAGCUCUGAAGAAACCCUCUUCUCCUCUGUGUUAAUCUCUCUCGGUUUGUGCCAGCGACAGGGGACUGGGGCAUCUGCAUGGCCGAGGAGUGAGUGCUGGCCAGCACCAAGCCCUUGAGAGGAUGUCAGCAGUGUGCCUUUGAAACUUUGAAUAAAAUGGACAUGAGGGCCGAGGAAGAAGACAGAAUUCCACAGGGAUAUUUUGUGCUCAGAAGGCUGGGAAGUAUUGGUGAGCAGAUUGUCUUGCCAGUUGGAGCUCCCCAGGGCACUGGGGGAAAUGCUGAAGAAGAGGGGCAAGAGUUUUGUUGAUUGUAACCUGAUCUGAGUAAGAUGGUCUCCAUGACACUGAGGCAAAUCCACUGGAAAUCUGCUGUGCUGUCUGGCUUCAGAUCACUUGGGACUCUGAGGCUGAUGACUCUGUCAAGGUGGGUGGAAAUAAAAUGCAGCUGACAACAUCCCUUGGCAAUAGGAGCCAGAGUGCUCAGCACUUCUGCAGCAGCUCUCUCCUGGUAUUCACACCUUCAUUUCCCAGAUCCUGUGUCCUGGGCUGCACUGACCCUGACUGCUCCUGUAGAAAAGCACAAGUUUUGCAGGAUGUUGGGAACAGGUAAACUGAAGUUGAGUAGAACUGCUGUAGCAGAAUGAGACCAUCCUGGUGUCUCCAGCACUGAUACUCUGCUGCUUGAGUAGGAGUGGUUCGAGCAGUCCGUGGCCAGGCUUGGGCUCCUGUUUAGACUAAAAUUUGGUUGUGGCCUGUCGGGUGUUCCAAGAGAAAUGGAACUUCUCUCAUAAUGACCAUACUUGUUCCCUUUUGAUGCUGGUCUCUGCUGGUCUUUGUCCAUGCUGUGUUACAUCUCUGUUAAUAUCUUUACUGAUUUUAUUAGCAACCCUGCCAUUUAUAGUACUUGUGUUGCAAAUUGUCCUACAUGAAGGCACUUAGAAAGAUAUGUUAUGGCUGUAGAGACCCAAGUGAUCAAUAACUUUUAGAUUACUGUGUCACUAAACAGCAGGCUGAGACAUGGAAAGGCACUGUUACUUUAGGGAUGAGAGAUUUUUAGAAAAUAAAUCAAUAGCGAAUACAGGCUGAUUGGUUUCCAGUUCAAAUAAUUCCAAGAAACAUGGAGCCCAGGGGAAACCAUGCCGUUCAUACUUGGAAAUAAACAACACAUGCUUGCUGUCAUUUAUGUAUUUGGGUCAGUUCUCCUGAAAAUGGACAGGGAGCUUUUGGGCAGGGUAUUAGUCUGAAAAUGGGGAACCUGGGUUCUCCUUCGAGUGCUCCCAGAGACUUCUCCCAGUGUUUCCCAAGUUCCUUUUGGUACCAACAGCCUUCACCGUGGGGCAUGGGCACUGCGUGGUGUAAAGCACAGGUGGAGCCCUUUUGGGGCUAACAGGAAUGUAAAAAAUAACAAACAUUCAGGGAGGUGAUUUUUGUUUUAGUGUUUUCCUUUUAAUGCUCAAGCAGCCACAGGCUAAAUGGUGGUGAGCAGCUGUUGGGUGCAGCGAAGGGCUGGAUGCUUUGUAGACAAGGAUGACGUGAAGCUGCCAGGGAAGAUGCUGCUGCCUCUCCAGGAGAUGCUGUGACACCUCCCCCAUGCAGGUGUGUUCAUGUGGCAUGGGCUGGCUGUGCUGCUGUGCCAGAGCCCCUGGAGCAAACAAGUUCCUGCAGUACCUCUGCUCAUCCCUGCUGCCUGGCGCUGCCCUGGAACUCAUCCCUGGAGAUGUGGGGGGAGACUGGCAGCAGUGGUGGCUGCGGGAACUCCCCUGUCCCUUGGCAGUGGGGAAGGGAUCUUUCUGAAAGUUUUCCAGCACUUCAGGGAUUUUUUUGCAGCAUCCACUGCCAGGAAGCAUUCCUGUGUGAGCUUGAGGUGUCUUCAGUUAAUUCUUGUUCUAGGCCAAGACCUGCCUUCUACACUUUGCUCAGUCCCCCCAGAAGCUCUUUUGUGGAUGUGUUUCAAGGACAGUUCGUGAUAAGGCAGUUACCUGCUACCUCUGGAACAUAGUGGACAGUGACUGAAGGUCCCAGAAAUUUUGUUAGAGUGCUGGUAUUAUACCUACUGGUUUAUUGGAGCACUACUUUUAUCUUGGGAUAGGUUGCUGAGUUCUGGAAGGCAGUCAGUGGAGAUGUACAAGUUGUGAAGGAUAUUUUCUGGAACUGCAGUACAGUUCAGCAGCCAAGGGCUGACUCCUGUUCAUCCAGUAAUGGCUGAGGAAGGCCAGGGGCAGAAGACAAGUUGGAAAAACUUACUUGAAGAAAGAAGCGAGAGAUACUUUAAUGUUGUUUUUGCAUGUGGCUUUGUUCCUCCUUGUCCAAACAAGAGAAGGAAACUGGCUGCUCUAACCUGACCUGUGUGCCUCUGCUUGAGAAAGGUGUUUUGUGGUGGUGACAAGGUGUGGAAUAGUACUUUGGUUUAAGGUUUGGGAUACUUGGAGUUAAGACCCUUUCCUGACCUGGAUAUGUCUGUGACACAUAACUACAUCACCUGGUCUGGCUGUGCUCUGUGUGCAAAGUGGAGAAAAUAGUAUUCCUCAGACUCAAAAGAAUGAAGGGUAAUUAUUUUGAGGCACUGAGAUAAGGGAAGUUAAGACAAAUAGAUCUGCUCCCACUGAAUACAGUGGCAGAACUUUUAAUGGGAGCAAGACCCAGGCCCCAUCCGAUAGAGUUUCAUCUGGAUUGCAUAUGGGGGUAGGCAUUAAAGACCCAUCUGAGGAUCUCCCCUCUGGAGUACAUCCAUAAAACACCCUCUGUAGUUGUGUUCAAAGCUUACAGUAAUGCCAGUCUCCUCAGGACCAUUCACUUAGAUCAUUCAGAAACUCUUUCUUGUCUAAGCCCUGAUGCUCUCCCCCAGUGGAAGAAUGUGGUUGAAACUCCCAUGCAGGGAAGACUUGAGAUUUGUUUUUUAUUUGAACCCAAAACAUUAACAAAUUGGACACAUGUGCUCUAAGACUAGAGCCCGCUCUUAUUUAAGCCAAUGCAAAACUCUCCUUGAUCCCAGCAGGAUCAAGGUCUUGAAUAUUGCUUUCACCUUUUUAGAAUAUCUGCCUCUAAAUGAAACAGACGGUGACAAGCUCAUUCUGGAUUUAUCCUCCUUUACUGACUUGCAGCCAGAGAUGUUUGCAGACCCUCCCUCUCAGACCAGAGGAAUUCACAGUUUAACUGCUGAAUGGAAGUCCAAGGGCAGGUAUCACUGUGCCUUCUCUUGUGGCACAUUCUUUUGCAUGUGAAAGUCAAGGCUGUGAUUUAGUCUUUUUUUUUUAGCAUUUAAACAUCUUUAAUGCUCUUGUCAGACUGUUGCUCCAGCUAGCAUAGUGCUUCUGUUCACUAUCUGUGAUUUUCUUCCUCUUCAUGCCAAAGUACUGACAGGUGAGUAUUAUAUGUGUAGGAAGCUAUUUGGCAGAAACAUAUGCCUUGAAUAUGUUUAAAUUCCUUGUAAGUCACUUGAUCAAUGUGCAGUAUUUGUGUCCCCUCUAUCUUGGCUCUAAAUUCAUAUUCAUCAACAGAGGUUUGCUUGGUACUUAAUGGGACACUGGGGCACUGAGUGAAGGGAAGGGACAAUACACAAACAGGGUGAAGAAUGAGGACAAAUGUAGAUGAACUUCCUCCAACAGGCACAAGAUGCUCAUUCCUGAAUAAAAAAUGUGAAAAGGUCAAGUGCCCCCAGAGGUUUCUAUUGUGACAGGCACUUAACCCCUUCACUCCUGGUUAUCUGCUUCAGCUGCUGGGCCACUCAGUGCACAAGUGCCAUUAGCAUCAGUGAAAUGUGGGGCUGGGAGCGUCAGGAGACCCUCCCUUGCAGGCAGCAGGCACUGGGUGAGCAGGAAAUAAUCCUUGUGGACACUGACCUUGUCAGUAGCUGUGUCUAGAGAUAAUUAUUUCCUAACAUGUAACCUUUUCAUGGUCAAUUGCUCCAGUAUAUUAGACAGAAUUGUGAUUUCCUUCUAUCUUCAGACAAGGUCUUGUCCUUCCUGCUUUGAGGGUGUAACUUGGCAAGUGCACAGACAACUCAGCACUUGCUGUUUCUAUUUUGCUUAAAAGAAAAAGAGUUUUGCUGCUCUUCCUGGCUACUGAGCAGAAGGGAUCUAGGGUAUACGGCCAAUCCCAUGUUUUCUUGACAGAGAGACAUUUCCCUUUAAGCAUCCAAUACUAACCAGGCAACUGUCAGUGUUUAGUAAUCUUCUGCUCCACCAGAUUUCUUGCUUGUUGACUGAUUCUGGUUUACCUUUUCCUAGCCUGUGAUGCUUCAGUGUGUGCCCCUUGACACAUCACCAAGGCAUGUGCAGAGGCAGGCUCAGCAGAGUAUGUCAGCACAGCUCCGAACGUCACGUUUGACGCCGUCAGGACCAACAUCAGCAUGAGCAGCCAGGGGUGAAGGCAGUUCCCUUGCACAGCCCUUGAGCCCGUGCUGCCCCUGCCUGAAGUGCACCCCACAGGGGCUCUCUGCUGGUUGGGACUGAGGAGCGUGAGGGAUGACACCGUUCUUCCUCCUUCUCCACCCCAAAUACUCCUCCUCACCUACUUGUUUGGCUGAGACUUGGCCUUACCAGGCAGAAGCUUUUUUGGGACAGUCCCUUUUGGGAAUGUACUCAGCUGACCCCUUGGAGACACGUUGUGUGGACUGCACUGAUCCAAACAAUAACACAAACCCAGCUCCUGCAGCUAACUGCAAUUUGUAGGUGAUAUUUUACAACCUGCUCCUUGUUUUGUAGCAGUAUUUAAUUGGCUUUAAAAUAAAAUUGCAAAACUAGGUCAGUUUGCCAUUGGGCCUUGUAAGACUCUUUAGCUAAAUCUCCAGACUUUACCUAGAAGUUAAUUUGAGCCAGACUUAGGAAAAAUAUAUAUUAAUAUACGCAAAGUCUCACAUGAGAAACUUGUAGGCAACGAUUUGGGAUUCAGAGCCAUAUUCAUAUUCCUAAGACUAAAUUCAAAGCCAUAGUUUAAAAGCAGCCUUGCACAUGUGUAUGUCCUGAUCUUUAAUUAGGCAAAACUCCCACUGACAUCAAUAGGAGUUUGACUUGAAUAAGAACUGCAGGAUCAGGUCCAUAAUUUGGUACCUGGGAUUUGAUUAAGCAGCUAAAUUACUAGAACAGUUUCCCCAUGUGUAUAAUUGCCUAAUUAAUUUUUAAAAUAGCUAAGUUCAGCACUGAAUACUGUGUACCUCUUGCCACAUGAAAUGUAUGCUAUUUAAUCCAAGUUGAUGGAGCUAUUUGGAAGAGCCUGUAGAGUUUUAAGUAAUACUGUUUAUUUUACACUCAGAAAUAGCCACCGUUGUGUUAAAAUGUCAUGUUCCAGAGUAGUGCUCUACUACAUCCUAAUUCUUGAGUUCUGGCUACUAUGAUUGAUAUUGCAGGUGAGAAAACACUCUGGAGGCUGGGGAAGAACUUAUUCUCUAAGAUGAUUUUUAGAUUCAAUGCUUUGAAAAGUUUUUUUGUUUUAUCAAUGAUUUUUUUCUGUUUGUUUGUUUUUGUUUUGUUUAGUGCCUCAGCAUACUGCCUGUGGUAGGCUAUGUAUCAGAAUAAGUGUGUAUUACUUGCUUUUUGUUGAAAUUUCAGUCUAAUACUGUGGGCUGGAGUUGAUAUAUUUGCUGCAGAAGGACUUGCUUUCACAAGUGAGAGACUGUUCUUUGUUUGAAACAGAGAACUUGUUCUGUAAGAAGAAUAGGGAGAUCAUAUAUGAGUUUCCUAAGUGGAAAAAUAUUGUGGAAAGACUUGCAAUGCCAAAAAGUAAAAUCUGUUCUCCCUAAAUGUAUAUAUGCAUGUGUGUGUUUGUCUGUGUGGGUCUUGUGUACAGACAUAAAUAAUUAGACUUGUAGCUGGCAUAAUGCACAGUGCCUCCUCAUGCUGUUGACUAUUCCUUAAUAAUGCAUGUUUUCCCAUUCUCUCCAGCUGAAUUCUCAAGGCAUUACCAUGGGAAUUCUGCCUUUUUGGGGAUUGCAGCAGAGCUCCAGGACGAGCUGUUUUUGUGAUGUGCAUCUCGCAGUAGCCCUUAUUCAGGAACUCCAUCCAAGCAUCUCCUGCAGAGAAUGAAAGCAUCAGCUGUCCUCGGAGAGGAGCUCCACGCUGCAGCCACGGUGAGCCUUGUGCUCUGAGUCUGGCAGGGUGAUGGGAGCUUGGAUUCUGCCACGCUCAAGGCAUGGCUAGGAGCUGGAAUUGCUGGAAUAGCACAGCACCAGGUGAAGUGGGGUACUGUCAGCUGUACUGCUCAGAGAGUACAGCACAGAGAGCCUUGAAGCCUUUGGAAACCAUUCUGCUCCUUUAAAGAUCUAAGAAUGCUCAAUAGGUAAACAAGUCAUGGCUCUGAAACUGCAGCCACAGCCUGAACUGGCUAAGGUCUGCAGUGCUGCUGUCUUUUCAAAUGACAGCUUUUUGUCUGUUCCACUAAUGCCCACAAAAUAAGCAGUCCUGUACCCUUGAAAAUUAGUGAUUGGGUCCACCCAAAAUGAUGAGAUGGUCUUAAAAAUGGGAAGAUUAUAUUUUAUGUUUUAAUUGGAGUCCUUUUGAAGGUUGUCCUGCUGUCUUGGUUUGUUGACUUUUUUUUUUUCCUGUAUUUGCCUCAUAUUUUGAAGACUUUCUAUGGGGAUUAUAGAAAGGAAUUGUAGGGAUGGAAACUUUCUGCUUUUGCUUAAAAAGAAAAAUAGGUAACUCUGUCUUGCAGCUGCUUGAUUUCUGCAGCUGAAAUUUUCUGAAUCAUCAUGAUUUAGCAUCGUUAGUGAUGACUAGAAGUGAUGUCUAUGGGUUUGGAAUCCCUUGGGUUUUAAAUAAAAU